rnacentral:lncRNA from 1 species
AUGUUUUCCAUCCAUCCAAGAUUAUUAAUUCCAAGAUAUUACAAGAUGCAAAAUUAUUUUCUCCUUAAGUAAUAAGCAGCCAUUGAUGUCAGUUUAUGCAUAACUUUUAUAUGGCAUUAAUGUGUAUUAUUUUUGUGGCAGAAAGGAAACCAGAGCUCCCUGUCAAAUGAAGAAUACAUUUUAAAAUUCUAUUUUGUUUAUAAAGCCCUCAAAAUUUUGUAUCCCUCAGUAUCUGACAAAACUCAUCCAUCUGUACACUCUUUCCAGAACUCUGAGAUCUUGUGAUCGGUGGCCUGAAACUUUGGAACAGCCUUCCUCUCCAUAUCAGAAUAGGUCCCUCUAUUUUCAUUUUUAAGUCUGCAUACUUAUUAUCUCUUGCUUUUAAUACUCAUUGACCAUUGGUUUGUACUAUUAUUGUUUGUUCUUUAUUACUGGUAGUUCUUAGUCUUUUUUAUCUUGGACAGCACUUUAUCAACCUUGGUUCUUUUUAAAACAUUUUUCAUAAAUAUUGUAUAGUUUGUAAAACUAAAUUGCACCAAAUUUAGCUUUUUCCUUAACAUUUUUUUCUGUAUUGUUUAUAUCUUACAUUUUGAUCUUUAAUAGCCAAAUACAAUGUCAUCUUAAUAGUAUUGCAAUAUAUGUCUCCUAACAUCUUUAUUGUCAUACAGUAUGAAUCAUAUCCGCCAGAUUCUUGGUGAUACACAGACCUAUAAAAUCACAGACUUUUCACAAUUUAAGAAGGUUGCUAAGCCAUAUUGUGCUUUCUGUAUUACUUCAUUUGACAGGUACUUCAAAGACAUUGCUCGUGGUAAAAUAGCGCUGAUUGCGAAAUACAGGAUGUGUGAAUUAACUUGUGAGAUUCUUGAUAUGAGACUUUUCAUUCUCUGGACGAUAGUCGAUGCAGACGCUCCGCUUGUGAUGUCGUUUGUUCCUAUGUGGAGAAUCACUAUUGUGUAGUUGUGCAGUUUCUCAAAGUGUUUCACGUGUUGUUGAACGGAUCUCACAAGAGUCGUGUUUGGAUGAAUCCAACAUUGUGCGUUUGGAAAAUAGUGCUCAAUAUCCCAACACACUGAGUCUGUGAGGAAGCAGACCUGAAGACCUGGAGAAGAACACAAAUACUUGUUUUAACUAUUCUCAGUAUGAAUUAUGGGUAUAUUGAAUGUUUAUUGAUAAAGUGUGUAUUAGUUGCUUACCUUUUGGAACGAUGAAUGUUCUUUUGCUGAUUGUAGUUCUUAUUGAGCUUUUAUCUAAAGAGACAUGGAGAAGGCAUGUUAAUAUGUAAGUACAGUGAUAUUUUUGUUUGUAAACGGCUUCUGAUGCUCUGCAUUUUAUUCAGUACUGUUAUUAUAGCUUUCAUGUGCACUAACCAUCUGUUUGUUCCCCAUUAUCCUCUUGUUUCACUCUGAAUGCUUCUUCAAUCUUCACGUCUUCACUCUCCACUUUAAUAAAUGCCAUCUUUAUAAUAGAGUGUCACAAGGAUCUCAGCUUCACCAGGGGUUUUUCUGUUUUAAUAUUUUAAUAUGUUGUCCUGUUCAAGAUGAGAAUAAUUAACAGAAAGAAGGAAUUUCAAAUUUAGAGUGAUUGUUGAUGGCCUUUAAUGACCCUAAUAAUCCCAAAACACUACAGUUAUCUUAAUACAAAGGUAUUGUUUAGAUUGUAUACAUUUCAUAGAUUACAUUUUCAUGAAAACAUUCACUGUUGGAAAACAAACAAAACAACAAACCAUAUACUUACAAUAUCCGGUUAUAGCUGUGGGAAACUCUUGAAGCAAAGACCAGGAGACUCUUAAAGGGAUAGUUCACCCAAAUAUCAAAAUUAUGUCAUUAAUGACUCACCCUCAUGUUGUUCCAAACCCGUGAGACCUCCGUUCAUCUUCGGAACACAGU